CGUAGCGAAAGUUACGCUAAUACCGCAUAUUCUGUGAGCAGGAAAGCAGGGGAUCGCAAGACCUUGCGCUGAUUGAGCGGCCGAUAUCAGAUUAGCUAGUUGGUGAGGUAAAGGCUCACCAAGGCGACGAUCUGUAGCGGGUCUGAGAGGAUGAUCCGCCACACUGGAACUGAGACACGGUCCAGACUCCUACGGGAGGCAGCAGUGGGGAAUUUUGGACAAUGGGGGCAACCCUGAUCCAGCCAUGCCGCGUGAGUGAAGAAGGCCUUCGGGUUGUAAAGCUCUUUCGGCCGGGAAGAAAUCGUAUGGGUUAAUACCCUGUGCGGAUGACGGUACCGGCAUAAGAAGCACCGGCUAACUACGUGCCAGCAGCCGCGGUAAUACGUAGGGUGCGAGCGUUAAUCGGAAUUACUGGGCGUAAAGCGUGCGCAGGCGGUUUUGUAAGACAGGCGUGAAAUCCCCGGGCUCAACCUGGGAACUGCGCUUGUGACUGCAAGGCUAGAGUAUGGCAGAGGGGGGUGGAAUUCCACGUGUAGCAGUGAAAUGCGUAGAGAUGUGGAGGAACACCAAUGGCGAAGGCAGCCCCCUGGGCCAAUACUGACGCUCAUGCACGAAAGCGUGGGUAGCAAACAGGAUUAGAUACCCUGGUAGUCCACGCCCUAAACGAUGUCAACUAGGUGUUGGGUGGGUAAAACCAUUUAGUACCGGAGCUAACGCGUGAAGUUGACCGCCUGGGGAGUACGGCCGCAAGGUUAAAACUCAAAGGAAUUGACGGGGACCCGCACAAGCGGUGGAUGAUGUGGAUUAAUUCGAUGCAACGCGAAAAACCUUACCUACCCUUGACAUGUCCAGGAGCCUGAAGAGAUUUGGGUGUGCCCGAAAGGGAACUGGAACACAGGUGCUGCAUGGCUGUCGUCAGCUCGUGUCGUGAGAUGUUGGGUUAAGUCCCGCAACGAGCGCAACCCUUGUCGUUAAUUGCCAUCAUUUAGUUGGGCACUUUAACGAGACUGCCGGUGACAAACCGGAGGAAGGUGGGGAUGACGUCAAGUCCUCAUGGCCCUUAUGGGUAGGGCUUCACACGUCAUACAAUGGUCGGUACAAAGGGUUGCCAACCCGCGAGGGGGAGCCAAUCCCAGAAAGCCGAUCGUAGUCCGGAUUGCAGGCUGCAACUCGCCUGCAUGAAGUCGGAAUCGCUAGUAAUCGUGGAUCAGCAUGUCACGGUGAAUACGUUCCCGGGUCUUGUACACACCGCCCGUCACACCAUGGGAGCGGGUUCCGCCAGAAGUAGGUAGCCUAACCGCAAGGGGGGCGCUUACCACGGCGGGGUUCGUGACUGGGGUGAAGUCGAAACAAGGUA
rnacentral:rRNA from 1 species